GGCAGAAUGGCCGAGCGGUCUAAGGCGCUAGAUCCAGGUGAUUACAUCAUCCUUCUAGUCUUCACGGGCGCGAGUUCGAAUCUCGCUUCUGUCA
rnacentral:tRNA from 1 species